rnacentral:rRNA from 1 species
UGUGGUGACGAUGGCAAGAAGGAUACACCUGUUCCCAUCUCGAACACAGAAGUUAAGCUUCUUAGCGCCGAUAGUAGUUGGGGGUUUCUCCCU